rnacentral:rRNA from 1 species
GAGUUUGAUCAUGGCUCAGGAUGAACGCUGGCGGCGUGCCUAACUCAUGCAAGUCGAGCGCGGUUGUGCUUAGUAUUGAGUGUUUUAUUGAUAUAAAACAUUGAAUUCUAUGCACAACUGAGCGGCGGACGGGUGAGUAACGCGUGGGUAACCUGCCCUAUACACAUGGAUAACAUACUGAAAAGUUUACUAAUACAUGAUAAAAUAGUUUUUCGGCAUCGAAGAAUUAUCAAAGUGUUAGCGGUAUAGGAUGGACCCGCGUCUGAUUAGCUAGUUGGUGAGAUAACUGCCCACCAAGGCAACGAUCAGUAGCCGACCUGAGAGGGUGAUCGGCCACAUUGGAACUGAGACACGGUCCAAACUCCUACGGGAGGCAGCAGUGGGGAAUAUUGCACAAUGGGCGCAAGCCUGAUGCAGCAACGCCGCGUGAACGAUGAAGGUCUUCGGAUCGUAAAGUUCUGUUGCAGGGGAAGAUAAUGACG